AUGUCACCCAUUCAAAGCAAGAAUGGCUCUCAGGAUUUGCUCCAGGCUCAAGUUGACCUUUGGCACCAUGCAUUGGGAUUUGUCAAGUCCAUGGCACUAAAAUGUGCAAUGGAACUGCAAAUCCCUAACACCAUCCAACACCAUGGUGGGGCUAUGACACCUUCUGAGUUGGCCGCAAAGAUCGGGCUCCAUCCAUCUAAGCUUCCCCGCUUACGACGGCUCAUGCGGGUGCUCACCGUAUCAGGCAUCUUUGCUGUCCAUGAAUCCACCACGGCAGACAAGGAGGCUGUUUAUGUGCUUACCCCAACCACUUGCCUCCUCGUUAGCGAUGAAGUUAAAUCGAAUUUAUUUCCCAUUCUGUCUUUGAUGCUUGAUUCAACUGUCCUUGCCCCCUUUUUUGGCAUGAACUCAUGGUUCCUAGAUGAGCACUCUACAUCCUUGUUCAAAAAGGCUCAUGGCCUUACCUUCUGGGAGAUGGCUGACAAGAAUGAUUCUUACAACCAGUCAAUCAACAAUGCAAUGGUUUCUGAUAGUAACUUUCUCAUGGAUAUCAUCUUGAGGGAGUGUGGUGAUGUAUUUCUUGGUAUAAACUCGCUUAUUGAUGUCGCUGGGGGCCAUGGUGGAGCUGCCAGUGCAAUUGCGAAGGCAUUCCCGCAAAUGAAAUGCACAGUGUUGGAUCUCCCUCACGUGGUUGAAGAAGCUCCUACUGAUGACCAUGUGUCAUUUAUUUCUGGCGAUAUGUUCAAGUACAUUCCACCAGCGGAUGCUCUUUUCCUGAAGUGGGUUUUUCAUGAUUGGGGCGACGAAGAUUGUGUCAAGAUACUAAAAAAAUGCAAGGAAGCUAUCCCUCCCAGAGAGGCCGGUGGGAAGGUGAUAAUCGUAGAUAUGGUGGUUGGAUCUGGGCCAAAUGAAAUUGUUACAAGAGAGACACAGGUUUUCUUUGAUCUGUUUAUCAUGUUUCUCGAGGGGAUCGAGCGAGAGGAGUUCGAGUGGAAAAAUGUAUUCAUGCAAGCCGGGUUCAGCGAGUACAAAAUUAUAUCGGUGCUGGGGGUUAGAUCUGUUAUUGAGCUCUACCCCUGA
rnacentral:rRNA from 1 species